rnacentral:rRNA from 1 species
AGUGAACGCUGGCGGUAGGCCUAACACAUGCAAGUCGAACGGCAGCACAGUAAGAGCUUGCUCUUACGGGUGGCGAGUGGCGGACGGGUGAGGAAUACAUCGGAAUCUACUUUUUCGUGGGGGAUAACGUAGGGAAACUUACGCUAAUACCGCAUACGACCUACGGGUGAAAGCAGGGGAUCUUCGGACCUUGCGCGAUUGAAUGAGCCGAUGUCGGAUUAGCUAGUUGGCGGGGUAAAGGCCCACCAAGGCGACGAUCCGUAGCUGGUCUGAGAGGAUGAUCAGCCACACUGGAAGUGAGACACGGUCCAGACUCCUACGGGAGGCAGCAGUGGGGAAUAUUGGACAAUGGGCGCAAGCCUGAUCCAGGCAUACCGCGUGGGUGAAGAAGGCCUUCGGGUUGUAAAGCCCUUUUGUUGGGAAAGAAAAGCAGCAGGUUAAUACCCCGCUGUUCUGACGGUACCCAAAGAAUAAGCACCGGCUAACUUCGUG